rnacentral:rRNA from 1 species
AGUGAACGCUGGCGGCCUGCUUAAGACAUGCAAGUCGAACGGCAGUCUUCGGACUGUAGUGGCGCACGGGUGAGUAACGCGUAACUGACCUACCCCAAAGUCGCGGAUAACGAUUCGAAAGAAUCGCUAAUACGUGAUGUGCUGUCAGAUUGUGUUCUGCCAGUAAAGAUUGAUUGCUUUGGGAUGGGGUUGCGUUCCAUCAGCUAGUUGGUGGGGUAAAGGCCCAUCAAGGCGACGACGGAUAGCCGGCCUGAGAGGGUGGCCGGCCACAGGGGCACUGAGACACGGGUCCCACUCCUACGGGAGGCAGCAGUUAGGAAUCUUCCACAAUGGGCGAAAGCCUGAUGGAGCGACGCCGCGUGAGGGAUGAAGGUCUUCGGAUCGUAAACCUCUGAAUCAGGGACGAAAGACACUUCGGUGGGAUGACGGUACCUGAGUAAUAGCACCGGCUAACUCCGUGCCAGCAGCCGCAGUAAAAC